rnacentral:lncRNA from 1 species
CAGAGCACGUCACAAAUGGGACUGCCUUGUCCCCAGAACCGUAACUGCGGAGGUUCCCACCUUCUAUUUUCCCACCCUACCUCCCUGCCCCACUUCUGCGCCCUGGGUUCUGAAUUACCAGUCAGAUUCCCUCACUUCGCUGCUCGGAUCCCUUCAGCAUCCUUCCAUCUCACUAGGAAUAAAAUACAGAAUCUCGACCACACUUCGCAAGCCCUCGUCUGCUGUAUCCUUCCAGGCACACACUGGCUUCGUGGCAUCUCGGCUCUUCUCUCUUCUCCUGAAUCCUCUCCCUGUCACCUGUGGACCUGGCCGGGGCAGUUCCCUCGGGGGCCGUUUACCUGGGCUGUUUCUGCGCUCACGUACCCACAGGGACCCAAGGACAUCAAUUCACAGAGCAGCUGCACACGAGGGG